rfam:Eubacterium sp. CAG:786 genomic scaffold, scf567
CACAGAGUAGGAGAACGUGCGUUAAGUGCUGCGCGGACGGAGAGUUGCCGUGCGGACGAAAGCCCAUACGGGCUGCGAUACGUUCUUCGCAUCUCGCUGUA